rnacentral:rRNA from 1 species
AUUGAACGCUAGCGGGAUGCUUUACACAUGCAAGUCGAACGAGUGGCGGACGGGUGAGUAAUAUAUCGGACCGUGCCCAGUAGCGGGGGAAAACUACUCGAAAGAAUGGCUAAUACCGCAUAAUCUUGUAGAGGCCGAUAUGGGAUUAGCUUGUUGGUGGGGUAAACGCUCACCAAGGCAAAUAUCCGGAGCUGGUCUGAGAGGACGACCCGCCACACUGGUACUGAGACACGGCCCAGACUCCUACGGGAGGCAGCAGUGGGGAAUUUUGGACAAUGGGGGAAAGCCUGAUCCAGCCAUCCCGCGUGUAUGAGAAGGCCUUCGGGUUGUAAAGUACUUUUGGCAGAGAAGCGGUAUCUGCAGAAUAAGCACCGGCUAACUACGUGCCAGCAGCCGCGGUAAUUC